CUUUUAUAAACUGGAGACAGGUUCCACUACGUGUUGAAAAUUCAUACACCCAACUUUCCAAAGCUUAAGAUCUAAAAGCAGUUUCUAGUGCUGCAAGCAAUCACAACUAAAUGUAAGAUCACAGACUAUGUGACACUCUCUCAGAAAAUGAUUCUCAACACGUGAGACAACAAUUAAUAUGCAAGAUUUCAAGGACAAGAACUAUCAAACGCUAGGCCAGCCAUUCUGCAGAACAGUUCAGAUACUCCAUCACCAGUACGUGAUGACACUGCCCAGAAUUCAGCUCCUACUUGCUCUGCUAGUCGCAAUGCAUGACCCUCCACUUCUGAGAAUGCUGUUCUUGUCUAAAUAAUAUAAUAUAAUAUACAUCAAAGCAAAAUACCAGACAAUAGGACAAAGUGCAGAUAUCAAAUAAUACUAAUUUUCAAACAUAGUAUACAAAGGUCAUUUAAAUUAACUGGGCAGAUAGCGUAAGGAUAUUGCAAAUUUAAAUGUUAACACUUAAAUGAAGUCAAAACUCUCUAACUGUUGGUAUGGACAGUGUAAUUACUUUAUUUUUCACUUGUACUUAGUAUUUAAAAGUAUAAUAUGCAAGAAACAAUACUAAAUAUACACACAGAUUCAGCAAGUGAACUUUACUCAGAAAAGUUUAAUGAACAAAGGAAAUACAUCAAUAAAGACAUCAAUACUGACAUGGAGUUCAAGAACCUCAUUUUUAAAAUAUAACAUACUCUUUCAAUAAAGAAUCACUGAAGGGGUCAAAUAAAAAAGAUAUACAAACCAGAGUAAGGAAAUAAUGAACACAGAUACAAGAAGAGGGUAAAUGGUAGUACAGAAAAAAUGCAGGAGGCUCUGUCAUAAGACAAUCUACCAUGGUAGACAUGUUAAUGGAAAAUGAUCAUAACUCGACUAGUCACUGACUGGUCCAAACAAUAUAUUCAAUUUCUUCUUGUCUGUCUCCUAUGUUUUAGACUUGCCAUUGACACUAUUCUUGAAUUAAAAUUCAGCAGAAUGAGCUGGGUUUUAAACACUCAUUUUGAUAUAACUAGUUCUCAUAAAUUAUCUUUUGCCUUACCUAGUUAUAAUUCUUGUCAGUGAACAGCAAAUAUAAUUCUCUUCAUUACCUCAGUUUUCAUAAAUAUCUUCAAUUGUCAAUGAGACUGUAGUUUCUAUGUCUGCCAUAUUAAUCAAUCUAUAUUUUCACUCAACUUAAGUAUCAACAAAUACUGGAAUUUCACUUGAGUUUAUUUAACCGCCAUUCUACUUGGUAUAGUACCAUGCAUAUUUUACAUACAAUAAUGCAAAGGCCUUCAAGUAACCCAAAGA